UUGACCUCGGAUCAGGUAGGGAUACCCGCUGAACUUAAGCAUAUCAAUAAGCGGAA
rnacentral:rRNA from 1 species